UAAAAUAAAAAUGUUUAUUGCAUCAUGAUGUACAGAUAGUUAACAUUAAUAUUUAUGGACACUAUACAUCCUUAGUUUGAUUUUGACAGAUUGCAUAUCAUCGUAAUCCGUGUUGGACAUUUUUAAAGGAAACCUGUCAGCAGGUUCAUGCUACCCUAACUACAAUCAGCAUGAAAUACUGACAGGGUCCAUAAUAACAAUGAACUAUGUUCUUCUCUGAGGAGGCGAUUAAGAGAAGCCAGUUUUACCUCUUCCUACCCUGCGCCACAAUAGUAUUUCUCGGCAGUAAGGUACUUAGCAUAAGUCAUCAUUUGCAAUAUUCAGCUGCCACCCAACCACCCAAUUGCCAGGACUCCAAUCCCACUUUCUAACCUCUGUCAGCAUUGGCUGUGGCAUUUAAAUGGUUAGAAAAACAGAGAAAGCUCCCCCUCUGAUCCUAUCACCUCCCACAACAAAAACAUAGGAUCCCAACUAGAUGUUAUGGUAGCCUGGGACCUAACUGGCUUCCAGUGCCGUCGAGGCUGCGGUUUUUAUUUAAAAAGUGAUCAAAAGGUUGUAUGUACCCUCAAAAUGGCACAAAUGAAAGUACAAUUUGUCCCACAUAGGGUGCCAACCAAAUGUUAUGGUAGCCUGAGACCCAACUGGCUUCCAGUGCUGUCAAGGCUGCUGUUUUUGUUCAUUCUACCUCUAAAAAUACACAAUAAAAAGUGAUCAAAAGGUUGUAUAAAAAAUACACA